UAGGCGGAAUGUUGCGUAAAGGGAAAGGUCGUAGUCAAACCCCACAGCCACGCGAACUCUAAGUCAGCCACGAAUAGGCUAUCCCAACUAACGGCGGGAAAGACUCCACGGAGGGUGUAAGACCCGUGUGGGCGCGUGUCAAAGCUGUGCGGGCUCGGCCUCUUUUCCCUGAGAGUCGCGUUGCUUGAGCAUGCAGCGCUAAGCAGGUCGUAAACUCGAUCUAAGGCUAAAUAUCUCCACAGAACCGAUAGCGAACAAGUACCGUGAGGGAAAGUUGAAAAGCACUCUGGAGAGAGAGUCAAAAGACCGU
rnacentral:rRNA from 1 species